CUGCUUCUAGAGCACAAAUAACACACUCUCUUCAUUCCACUUGCUGAACCUUUUAACGAUUAUUAAAAAAUGUUUUAUUAUACAUUACUACACCUUUUCGAAACACUUGUGCGUUAACUCGCUUUUUUUUAUCGCUCUCAAGGACGGAAGCUACUAGGUUAGUUAUAUUUCUCUUAUUUAUUUGGUUAUACAUUUUACCUUGGAUCAUGAUUUUUCUUAGUAUACAUUGACAUUCGAAUACCAGCUUUGAAACUUAAAGCCCUAUGCACCUAAUCAUUAAUUAUUUUUGUUUUUAUUUAUUUAUUCUUUAUUCUUUUCUAAUCAAACACUACCAUAUCUAUCGGACAAUUCAAUUCCUUCUGUCAAGACCGAUAAAUCGUUGUGUUUAUCUUCCAUUAAAAUAUUUUUCGGCCCUUUUUUUUUCUGUUUUUCUUUACUUCUAUGUAUUAUUCUCUAUACGUUGAGCAUUUUACCCAAUCAUCCUGUGCUUUCCCAUUAAUCCAUCGAGGUAUUUCUUACCAGCUAUUUCUGCCGUACAUUCUUUCCAUUUGCAUAUAAAUCUCAGGAUACCUUGUUAGAAAUCUUGUCGAAUGAUUCAUACAGGUCGUUACGCUUAUACGGAGAUCUGCAGCAUAUUAUUUGGCUUCACGUUAUUUUGAUUUUACAAAUUUGAUUGUAUCCCUUAACCAUCCCUUGUUUUGAUGAAACAUUUUUUUAUCCACGUUAUCCUUAUA